CUCUCUCUACCUCUGGAGGUGGAAUAUCAGGAUAAAAACACCUACAGCUGUGUGCUGAACAAUCCCAUCAGCAACCAGACUCAACAUCUGGACAUCACUCACCUCUGUCACACAUGUGCAGGUACAGCAGAGCUGAUAUAUGUGAUUAUUUACACAUUCACUUACAUUAAUGACUGUCUCUCUUUUACUCCAGUCUCAGUGUCUCUGAUAGUGUUGAUCUCUGUUGCUGCUGCUGCUGCUGGAUUUCUGUUGAUUAUAUUUGCAGUCGGAAUCUGGUGCAUCUGCAGGAAACGUAAAAAAGCAGAUGUUAAUGCAGACCAGACCCAUGAGAAAGACAAAACUGAUUCAGCAUUGUGUAAACCAACAAAACGAAAGAAGAAAUCAAAGGAGCCCGUGUAUGGAAAUUUCAAAUCAAAACGGUGAUCAGAUUCAACAUCUCUGCCAUCUUCCUGAUUGUUUUUUUCCUCUCUUUCUUUAAUGUUUUUUUUUUCUUUUGCAACUCUCAUAAGUUGAUAUUGUUGUAUCUGAAAUUGUGUUGCUCUGUAUUCAUUUAAUUUAGUGAUUCACAAGUGGCGUAGCAUCCAGAAACUCAACUAAAUGUUUUAUCUUAACACGCAUAGAAAUUUAUUAACUUUAUUGAAAAUGUAUUUAUCCCACCCUUCCCGUUUAAAAAGAAAACUGAAUAGCAAUAUAGUUGCUCAGUUUGUCACACGUUCUGCUGGAUAUUUUGGCAAAAUAAGCACAACCACAUCAUCGCCCUCUAGUGCCCAAAGCAGAAAAUCGCAUCUCUCUAUUUUUUCUACUUUUACUCGACACAGUGCGCUAUAAAUAGAUGCUGCAGUUCACACAGAGGAAGAACUGAAGAACCAAUAUAACGGAGGUCGGCAACCCGCGGCUCUAGAGCCGCGUGCGGCUCUUUAGCGCCCCCCUAGUGGCUCCCUGGACCUUUUUCAAAAAUGUAUGAAAAUGGAAAAAUAUUUUUUGUUUUCAUAUGGUUUCUGUAGGACAAACAUGACACAUUUUUAACGUUUUCCAAUGCUGUAAAAAUGUGUAUAAUAUUAAAUUUCAACAUUUCUGUCAAUGAAGAUUUGCGUCAUAGCCUGCAACACACGUUUCAGCCAUAGACUGUAAAAGGUUUCAGCCUCAGCGCGGCAACGUCACUUUCCCGCCGAAAGCGCGCUCCCUCUGGACUGAGUGGCAAAAGAACCUGCUGCGUGACUGGAUUUAA